rnacentral:tRNA from 1 species
GGCCUUGUAGCUCAGAUGGCAAGAGCGUUUCGCCAAUCAUGAAAAUGUCGCCGGUUCGAGUCCGGCCAAGGCCA